rnacentral:rRNA from 1 species
CUACGUAGGGGGCGAGCGUUGUCCGGAAUGAUUGGGCGUAAAGGGCGCGUAGGCGGCCCGGUAAGUCUGGAGUGAAAGUCCUGUUUUUAAGAUGGGAAUUGCUUUGGAUACGGUCGGGCUUGAGUGCAGGAGAGGUAAGUGGAAUUCCCAGUGUAGCGGUGAAAUGCGUAGAGAUUGGGAGGAACACCAGUGGCGAAGGCGACUUACUGGACUGUAACUGACGCUGAGGCGCGAAAGUGUGGGGAGCAAACAGGAUUAGAUACCCUGGUAGUCCACACUGUAAACGAUGAAUGCUAGGUGUAGGGGGUAUCGACCCCUUCUGUGCCGCAGUCAACACAAUAAGCAUUCCGCCUGGGGAGUACGGCCGCAAGGUUGAAACUCAAAGGAAUUGACGGGG